rnacentral:lncRNA from 1 species
AUAGAGAAUAGCAACACUUGUUUUUGCAGGAGAACUAUACAGUGUUUUAAAUAGAAGCCAGAAAGAGAGAGUAGUAAGAGUGGUAGAGAACACACCAGCUUAAAAAAGGAGAUGCAGGACAAUGCUUUAAAAGAAAACAAAAACUACCAGCUACCCCCAUGGUCACAUGCUACGAAACACGGAUACUCCACCUGGGGACCGUAUCCCGUAUCGGAUACGUAUCCGAUACGGAUACGCCCCGGAUACAUAUCCGUGGUGUAUCCACGUAUACCCGAUUAAAUGGGCCGAAAACUUCGGAUCGGAAACGUCUCCGCGCCUGGAUUCGGCCCAGCCGGCCCAACAUCACAGCACAUCCCACCUCCUGCCCUACUCCCGUGACCCGUCGGGCGUCGGCUCUCCCACGCGCAGCCGCCUCACGCAGCGCAUCGCCGCAUUCUCCCGCUCGACCUGACGGCUGACGCAGCGCCUCCGCCUCUCGUCGGCCGCCGUCCGCCGUCCGCCGUCCGCUGGCCGCCGUCCGUGAGGCCGCCUUCUGCCAGCCGCCGUCCGCCUCCCGCGGCCACGGGCCGCGAGGCCGCCUCCCGCCGGCCGCAGGCUGCCUCCCGUCGGCCUCCGUUCGCCCGUGAUUACUCCCGUCGGCCUCCGGCGUAAGGAGCCCCAGCCCCUGUUCAGGUGCGUGACUUCCUCUGAUAGUGGUAGUGCAGGCCUCCCGUGAACCGUGAGUUCCUCCCAGUAAUGGUAGCAUAGCAUCCGUAAAGUGCAUAGAGAUUUACAUUUUCUGUGUAGUGUAUCCAGGCAAUUUGGAAGUAUAAUCCAUAGUCUACAGAAUAAGGGCCCAUGCAAGCAUGGAUGGUGGAUUAAGUUCAGGGGCAGUGUGAUCUUUAUAAUGUUGGCUAUUGCACAGUUGUUGAUUAUCCUUUCUUUUCAAUACUUAACCGGUUCAAAUACAAUUGCUUGGAGAAUAGUACCAUAUAGAUUGCAAGUAGGAGGUAACGUCAUGAUAAUUGGCCAAUCUCCAGAAUCUGGAUAUGAGUUUAUAUUGAUUGAUUGCAGUCCCAGGCUCCCAUCCUCUCCUAAAUUAGAACCUGCUAUCAUGUUAUUCUCAGUGUAAUAGACCUUAAAUGUCUCUAUGUUGAAUUUGAACAUCUAUUUUGCAAUUUAAUAUGCAUUGUUAUUUAUUUAUUAAAAAAAUAGUUAAAACGUAUCCGCGUAUCGGGUUGUUUAAGAAAUUGCCGUAUCCGCGUAUCCGUAUCCUUCCGAUACCGAUACGCGUAUCCGUAUCCGUGCUGCAUAGGUCACAUGAAUGACUUAUGAUGCUCCAUAUGAUACAGCUCACAAUAAAAUCAGCAAGCAUAAGUUUCUCAAAAAAAAUGCAGAAUCAAUCAAGGAGUUUGUUUGAGGUGUGAUUAGCAUGAUGCAAGCCAUGUCAACACAAUAUUUUAAGUUCCUAUCAUCUUACAAAAUAUUGUUUAAAAGUUCCAGGUGCAAAGACUCCACUUAGGCAAUGUAGGGGCAAUGGGACACAUCGUGGAUUCCGGAUAAAACACAGAAAUCACUUAGGCCAUAAAGGGGCAAUGGGACGUAUCAUGGAUUCCAGAUGAAACACAGACAUCACUUAGGUAAUUCUCCGGAAAAAAAUAAAAACAUGUUUAAAGAUGUCACAUUGUCUACGAACCAUUUGCCACGGAAACAAUACAAUGGUUCAUCAAUAACAAUGAACAAUGUGUGUCGAUGUCCCUAAAGUAACGUGGGAACUGCUCGCUUGAAGAACAGAGCAGAGCCUUUACUCUUUAGGUUUCCACAAUGCAAUCCAUUCUUGCAUGAUGGGACACUUGUGCUUAAUGCCAAUACAUGCUUAGCACUAGCAAUCAUAAAGCUCCAACAAAGUCAUAUAAGCCGACUUAAUUCACCACCGACUACAUCAAAUGCACAGCUAAAUAAUGAGGAAGCAAUCAACUCGCAAUGAAACAAGGAUCCA